UCGAGAAUCUUUCACAAUGGGGGCAACCCUGAUGGAGCGACGCCGCGUGGAGGAUAAGGUCUUCGGAUUGUAAACUCCUGUCAUGCGAGAACAUAGCCCAACUUGCUUGGGUCAGAUAGUAUCGCAAGAGGAAGAAACGGCUAACUCUGUGCCAGCAGCCGCGGUAAUACAGAGGUUUCAAGCGUUGUUCGGAAUUACUGGGCGUAAAGGGUGUGUAGGCCGCGCUAAUAGUCAGUCGUGAAAUCCCAGGGCUCAACCUUGGGUCUGCGAUUGAUACUUUAGUGCUAGAGCGCAUGAAGGGAGUCUGGAAUUCACGGUGUAGCAGUGAAAUGCGUAGAUCUCGUGAGGAACACCAAAGGCGAAGGCAGGACUCUAGAAUGUUGCUGACGCUGAGGCACGAAGGCUAGGGGAGCAAACGGG
rnacentral:rRNA from 1 species